rnacentral:tRNA from 1 species
GCCUGGGUGGCUUAGUCGGUUAAGCAUCUGACUUCAGCUCAGGUCAUGAUCUCACAGUUCAUGGGUUCAAGUUCCGCAUCAGGCU